AUUUUUUUUUCUUUAUUAAAUUUUCAAAUCCUACUUUAAGUAACAUUUUCAUGAUAUUCUUUCAUUUGCAGGGAGUAAGCAUCUUCUAGAGAUGAAUAGGAUUUUAAGGCCUGGGGGAUACUUUAUCUUGUCAACUAAACAUGACAGCUUUGAAGCUGAAGAAGGUAAACAAAUAUCUAGAAAACUAUGAAAUGGCCCUUACUGGAUUUGAAGCUGCUGCUUUAAAGGAUCCUGGUCUCAAUGCUACCGAAGAGGUUCAAAAGAUUGUUAACCUUCUUGACAAGCUAGAUAAUUUGUUAAGGGUAAUGCAUUUUUCAUUCGUAAAUGUGGUAUCUUGAGGUCUUGAGUAUGUGUUUCCAAAGUGGUUUCUAGGAUCAAGGGGCCUUGGGCUAUCAUCUAUUGGCAGGUAACUUUUGAGUGGUAAGUUUCGAUUUAAUGUGAUUGGAAUGUGUUGCACUAUCUGUUUUGCUUUGGAUACUAGUUUGAAUUAUGCCAAAUACGGCUUUGCACUCUUUCUAAUGUUAUUUGUCUUUCUAUGGCAGUUGCUUUAAUUCCUCUAUCUAUUUUUCACCAACAUUUUGGUUCCACUUUUCGUUUUUCUUUUUCAAUUUUCAUUAGUUUUGCUUUAGAUCCAAUAUUAUAUGCUAUCUAUGUCCUAAGUUAUGGAUUUGUGAUCUCGCUUUCAUUUUCAUAUUGUCCAGUCUGGUAUGGUGAACCAGUAAGCAUUUUUACCUUUGGGUGAGAUUUUGGUUUCUCUUUAAUAUGAUUUUUAACUCUGACAGAUUCAAUUUGUUAAUGGACGUGUACCACAAUCUAUAUCAGAAAUACGAGGGUUGGUGUGCGAGGACAUAACUGGGGGUCUAGAGGAUAUUGCCAUUCCAGCU